GACGAACCGUGCGAACGUUGUUCGGAAUCACUGGGCUUAAAGGGCGCGUAGGCGGGUUCGCAAGUCUGUGGUGAAAGCCUCCAGCUUAACUGGAGAAGUGCCAUGGAUACUGCGCAUCUUGAGGAGGGUAGGGGCGUCUGGAACGGUCGGUGGAGCGGUGAAAUGCGUUGAUAUCUACAGGAACUCCGGUGGCGAAGGCGGGUCUCUGGGCAGUAACUGACGCUGAGGAGCGAAAGCGUGGGGAGCGAACAGG
rnacentral:rRNA from 1 species